rnacentral:rRNA from 1 species
GAUCCUGGCUCAGGACGAACGCUGGCGGCGCGCCUAACACAUGCAAGUCGAACGAGCGAGAGAAAGCUUGCUUUCUCGAGCGAGUGGCGAACGGGUGAGUAACGCGUGAGGAACCUGCCUCAAAGAGGGGGACAACAGUUGGAAACGACUGCUAAUACCGCAUAAGCCCACGGCUCGGCAUCGAGCAGAGGGAAAAGGAGCAAUCCGCUUUGAGAUGGCCUCGCGUCCGAUUAGCUUAGG